rnacentral:rRNA from 1 species
CGAAAUCGACGUGCCUAUACAUGCAAGUCGAACGAACGGAGGAAGAGCUUGCUCUUCCAAAGUUAGUGGCGGACGGGUGAGUAACACGUGGGCAACCUGCCUGUAAGUUGGGGAUAACUCCGGGAAACCGGGGCUAAUACCGAAUGAUAAAGUUUGGCGCAUGCCACGCUUUUGAAAGAUGGUUUCGGCUAUCGCUUACAGAUGGGCCCGCGGUGCAUUAGCUAGUUGGUAGGGUAAUGGCCUACCAAGGCAACGAUGCAUAGCCGACCUGAGAGGGUGAUCGGCCACACUGGGACUGAGACACGGCCCAGACUCCUACGGGAGGCAGCAGUAGGGAAUCUUCCGCAAUGGACGAAAGUCUGACGGAGCAACGCCGCGUGUAUGAAGAAGGUUUUCGGAUCGUAAAGUACUGUUGUUAGAGAAGAACAAGGAUAAGAGUAACUGCUUGUCCCUUGACGGUAUCUAACCAGAAAGCCACGGCUAACUACGUGCCAGCAGCCGCGGUAAUACGUAGGUGGCAAGCGUUGUCCGGAUUUAUUGGGCGUAAAGCGCGCGCAGGCGGUCUUUUAAGUCUGAUGUGAAAGCCCCCGGCUUAACCGGGGAGGGUCAUUGGAAACUGGAAGACUGGAGUGCAGAAGAGGAGAGUGGAAUUCCACGUGUAGCGGUGAAAUGCGUAGAUAUGUGGAGGAACACCAGUGGCGAACGCGACUCUCUGGUCUGUAACUGACGCUGAGCGCGAAAGCGUGGGGAGCAAACAGAUUAGAUACCCUGGUAGUCCACGCCGUAAACGAUGAGUGCUAGUGUAGGGGUUUCCGCCCCUUAUGCUGCAGCUACGCAUAGCACUCCGCCUGGAGUACGACGCAGUGCUUUGUGAAUGUGUUGACUGAUCGCGCGACGA